CCCUCUCUGUCUGUCUGGAGACGAAUAGAGCAUUUUAAAGUUGUUAUAUAAAACACAACGAGAGAUUUAUGCGGUUGAAAUACCCAAUUUCUCAGAAGACAAUUGUUUUGGCUAACCUGAAGAAUGUGUUGGCCGCUUAUUGUUCGUCGUCCCAGUCACUUCUUAGAUUUCGAGAUGAAAUUGCCUGAAGAAACGGCCCUAUUCUUUGUCAGGAGUAUCAAGAUCAUAUGUGGUCAGAGGGAAGAAAUUUUCGGAUAAUUCGAAAUCUGACUCUUGUUUUUUCGGGUUUUGGACAUGCAUUUGUCGGAUAUUGAAGUUGUCUUGAUCCUUCUAUGACACCAAAGAUGAGGAUAUCGACUCAGGUUUAGUUUGCUCUAUUAUGUGUGGAGUUACAUUGCUAUAACAUAUUUUUGACAAGAUGUUUGACUUGGUAAGUUUGAUACUUUUGUUAUUUUGUUGAUUUAAUUUCUCACUAGGAGUGAUAACAAUGUAUCCUUUUGAUAAUCCAUUUAUAGAGCAGAUGAUUUGGAACUAGCUAAAACAUUGAAGCCAAAUGACUUGGCUUCAAUAGUAUGUGUUAAUUCAAAUACUUGUAUUUUGCUAUUCAUUUCUAAUGUAUG